UGGGGAAUUUUGCGCAAUGGGGGAAACCCUGACGCAGCAACGCCGCGUGGAGGAUGAAGUACUUCGGUACGUAAACUCCUUUCGAUCGGGACGAUUAUGACGGUACCGGAAGAAGAAGCCCCGGCUAACUUCGUGCCAGCAGCCGCGGUAAUACGAGGGGGGCAAGCGUUGUUCGGAAUUAUUGGGCGUAAAGGGUGCGUAGGCGGUUUGGUAAGUCUUGUGUGAAAUCUCUGGGCUCAACUCAGAGACUGCACGAGAAACUGCCGGGCUUGAGUGUGGGAGAGGUGAGUGGAAUUCCUGGUGUAGCGGUGAAAUGCGUAGAUAUCAGGAGGAACACCUGUGGCGAAAGCGGCUCACUGGACCACAACUGACGCUGAUGCACGAAAGCUAGGGGAGCAAACAGGAUUAGAUACCCGGGUAGUCC
rnacentral:rRNA from 1 species